rnacentral:lncRNA from 1 species
UUCAAGAUGGCAGGAGCAUUCGUGAAUCGUGGUAGUGUAAAUAUUAAAUAGGGACCCUGUACCUACUGAAUAACAAUAUAGUCAUUAUAUUUAUAUUUUAUUAGUUUCAUUAUAGUAAUUAUUUGUUUAGAGUUUAUUUAAUUUCUUUACAAUAACCAUUAACACGUUCACAAUACAAUAAGUCACUAGUUAUUCUAAUCAAUGGAUUUUAAAGCCACUCGUUUAAUCGGCAUUACCGACGAAUUUGGUCAUGACUGAAGAACAGGUUGGCUUUAAUUUGGGCGAACUCAGAAAGCUUUGCAAACCUUACAUAGACUAUACUCGCUCAUAUAUGGACCAAAUGCCAAACAACUUAUGCAAUAAGCAUCAUGUCACUGUUGACAAUUUCAUCUUUCAGUUUUCAUCUGAAGUGGUGGAUUUUAGUUCACAGUAUGGCAGCGACAUUAGCAUAUCUUACACGGCUAGUAAUCUUACGGGGAAACCAAGCAAAUUUCCAAAUUAUGGAGACUUUCCUCAGUCAUAUGUCAUGGUGAGUUUUGUAAUAAACUUUUUACAAGUGUAUAGGUACUUGGCACACAUAUUGGUCUAGUAGGCAUUGAAGCCAAUCAGCCUGUCAUCAAUUUAUUGAUAUAUUUUUUCUAUUUAUUACUAAAUUAAAUAAAACAUUUUUUAAUUAAAAACUACUUGAAUUCAAGUUUUUUUUUUCAUUUUUUCUAAGACUAAGUGUAGGUGUGCAUCAAAGAUUGGUAUUGAAGCCUUACCAAAUUUCUGUUGUAAUAGAUGAAGUUACCAAUGAAAUACAAGGUGAGGUACCGAGGAAAGUGGCACUUGAAGGAUAAGUAGAAAUAAAACAGUACAUAUAGUAUGAGUUUAAAGGAACGGGAUAAGAUAACUAAUGACAAUAAGCAGUGACAUUAAAGGUGAGCUUGAGGUUUUUAAGUUCCUAGGAUCUUUUGUAUAGAAGAAUAACAAUUUCUAUGAGGAUAUUAAAUAAUGGUGGUUGAAUAAAAUGGAGAGAAGCGUUAGGUGUUUUAUGUGACAACAAGAUAAAUAUAAGAUUUAAAGGUAAGUUCUACAAUAGUAUGGUGAGACUGGCUGUUUUAUGAUUCAAAGAAAAAUAGAAAAUAAGUGUAACAGAGAUGUGAAUGCUUAGGUGGAUGACUGGAGUGAUGAGAGAAGAUAGUAUAAGGAAUGAGUAGCUUAGGUGUGGCUUCGAUAGUAAUCAAAAUGAAAGAAAAAUAGACAGAUGGUUUGGACAUGUCAUUAGGAGAGAGGAAUCAGAAGCGGUAAGAAUUGUAAUGAAAAUAGACACAGGAGGAAUAAGGGGAGAGGAAGACUAAAAUAUGGUAGCUGGAUGUGAUUGAGAAUGAUGCGAGGACAGUCAGUGUAUGAGAGGCGGGAGAUCAGCUCAAGUAGAAGUUUAAGAUGAAAGUGGCUGACCCAAAAUAGUUGGGAUAAAGGAGAAGGAGAAGAAGACAUUUUUUUCUAUGACUAGAAGUGGUUAUUCAUUUUACAUUUUACAAGUUGAAUAUUAUUGCAUGUAACAUGUUUAACAUUACUCACUAGUUUAGUUUUUUAUUUUUAAUUAUUUAUAAAUAUGUAAUAUUUGUUAAUUACAUCAUUUUUGUUUUUACAGAGAACUUAUGGACCAUGGAAAGAUGUUGCACCAUCUAGAAAAUGUCCAAUAAUGCCACAAAAUGCAGAGAGAAUAAAAAGUGAAGAUUAUAUAAGUAUGAUGAUAGAAAAAAAAAUUAUUGAAUUAUCAACUUAUGAUUAUCUUAUAUUUUAGUAUUAGGAUUUGAUGUACCAGUUGUGCCCUUGGUUGUAUCCAUAUUCGAAACGUUCACACCUGGAUCUGUUGUGCGUAUAUCAGGAAAAGUUAUUGACCUUCCUGAUUCGAUGGCGUGGCGACUACUGUGGGAAGGAUUGCCUCAAAAUUGUAAUGGUUUAAGAUACUCAAGAUUGUUUGCUCCUAAAUUAAAAGUCAUUAAAGAACGGGUCAAGUAAGAUAAACAUAUACUGCUGUAAGACAAUGAAAGUUGCGAAUAACAUUAAUAUUCAAAUAUUAUGCGUGUAGUCAGAUAUGUAUAGAGUUCAAUCAUUCUCAAUUGAACUACUAUACCGAGUUGGAUGCCGUAUCUCUGGGAGGCAUUUUGAAAUAUCCUGAAACUGGUGAACUUGAAAUCUUUUCAAUACCUUUGGUGACUCAUACAAGAUCAGGAUAUGUUUAUGAUAACAACGAAGAAGACAACCAAACACUAUUGACAGAAAUUAGAGUUCCUUCAGUGGCUUCAAAAGUGAUUUUCUCCAAUAGUUUCAUUUUUCUAGAUUAUUUAUGUAUAACAAUAUAUGUAUUGUUUGUAGUUACCAAUGUCGACAAGUUUGGAUCCGUUUAUAGACCUUAUUAAAAACAUAGAAGAACUUGAAAAUGAGUGGCGCAAAAGUGUACCUGACAUAGAUCAUACUUUAAAAUUACCUGUAUGUAUUUUUUUUUUAUUUUAGUCGUGUUAAUAAAUGAAUCUUAAAAUUUGUAUUACUCACAUCAAUAAUAUAGGAUGAAACAUUAAUGCAUAUAUUUUCAUAUUUGGAUUUAAAAUCAUUGCGUCGGUGUUUAAGUGUUAGCAAACGCUUCAAUGCCAUUUGCAAAGACGGAUCUUUUUAUAGAGAACUAAAUUUCAAAGUAAGUACAGCAAUAUUCAUAAUGUAUGUACUUAUAAUUUAUUUUUUCUCUUUUGUAGCCUUAUUGGUCUACAUUUUCCUAUGAAAUGCUUAUGUCAGUAGAGCCUCAAUGUUCCCGAUUAGCAAAGUUGGAUUUAUCCUGGUGUGGUAUAACAAGAGGAAUAUUAAGUACAACAUUCAAUGUGUAUGCUAUUUGUGUUAAACAUGUAAUACUCACAAUAGUUACUAUUUGUUUUUAAUUUUUGAUAAAACAUUUUUAGAUUUAUAAAUAAAUGCGGUACCCAUUUAACUCACUUACGACUGGACAAUUGUAAAUUUGUCAAUGAUAGUUCGUUAAUUGCAAUAAAUUUGUUUUGCAAAUAUC